rnacentral:lncRNA from 1 species
UAACAUUAGACUUUUAUUGAACUUCGCAUUAUUUCAACAAGUGUUUUAUCUCAUGGUGAGCUUAACAACGGAUACAAUCAGACUCAUAGAUUUAUCAUAAAAGAGUAAGAGAUGUAAACCUAAGAAGCGCACCAACCAAUAAAUGAUCUUUCAACCAUCAAGUUCAGAAGCGUCGUGCCUCUGGUUAUCAGAAUUGUAGCAGGAAUUGCCUUGAGAUGUUGGGGUGACGGCACAACCACAUACAUGCAGUUCCUUUCUUCCUUCUACUGUAUUGCUCCACUGAACAAGGGUUUUUGAUACUCUUUAAAUAGGCAUCAACAUUGGAUCAUAGGCCAACCCCCAUUGGAUAAUAUUAAUGAUAGCCUAAAGAAUAAAAUAUAUUGUCUCAUUUGGAUAAUACUAUAAUAGUACAAUCCUGCACAUGAGACGCCAGCUGUCUUAUCCUUCCGUGACAGAAUAUUCUUUUUUAUUGUCAGCGCGCGAAGCUUUGACUAAGAUUUUGACUAAUUGUAAUUCUCGAUUGUAUGAAGAUUGGUGUCUUGACUCUCGUUAUCAUAUUUGAAGCUCUUGAGACCUUUUCAAAUGUGGCUCUUGUGGUCUGUCUUGACACUAGUUAUCACCUAAGCUAGCUCUUUACAUUAAAAUGUCGUGAAGUCCAAAAUCAAAAUGACUCAACAUUGAAUAAUCACCAUAUUAGCAGGGAAUAAUCCAAGUAUUAUCAAGAGCCUAAUAGCAUCAUAUAAAGUAAGUUAAUAGUUGACAAUAGAUACUUUAGUAUGUUAUUGUUGGGCCGUGAUGGAGGAACCGCACUAGGUUGGAUCAAUACAUAUAUUGUGCAUUGAAUAAACACACAAGUGACUUUGACAGCACACUUUCACCCAAAAUCUUAAGCCAUUAGGUUUAUGAUCCUCUCAUUGAGCAUUGAAUAAACACACAAAUGACUUUGACAUCACACUUUCACCCAAAAUCUUAAGCCAUUAGGUUUAUGAUCCUCUCACUUAUAUAUUUCUCAUCAGUUAUAUAAGUUUGGUUAUGGUGGAAAUCCUCUACGUUGAAGGAUUGGACGUAACUACCAUUCAUAGUGAACCAAUCACAAUUCUCUGUGUCUCUCUUUUUGCUCUUUAUCUUUAGUCUCUUACAUACUUCGUGCCUUAAAAUCUAACAUGUUAAAUUAUUUUCACGAAAAAUACUUUUAAUUACACAAUUAAAAACUCUCCUUAUAUUUUUCUCACCUUCAAUUGACAUAGCACUUAAUCGUGUUAGAAAAA